UACAUGUGGGGCAAGCGUUGUUCGGAAUUACUGGGCAUAAAGGGUGCGUAGGUGGCUUGUUAAGUCAGGGUGAAAGUUUUCGGCCCAACCGGAAAAUGGCCUUUGAUACUGGCGAGCUCGAGUGCGUGAGGGGUAACCGGAACGAGCAGUGUAGCGGUGAAAUGCGUAGAUAUUGCUCGGAAGGCCAACGGCGAAGGCAGGUUACUGGUACGCAACUGACACUGAGGCACGAAAGCGUGUGGAGCAAACAGG
rnacentral:rRNA from 1 species